rnacentral:rRNA from 1 species
UACGUAGGGUGCAAGCGUUAAUCGGAAUUACUGGGCGUAAAGCGUGCGCAGGCGGUUAUGUAAGACAGAUGUGAAAUGCCCGGGCUUAACCUGGGAACUGCAUUUGUGACUGCAUGGCUAGAGUUUGGCAGAGGGGGGGUAGAAUUCCACGUGUAGCAGUGAAAUGCGUAGAUAUGUGGAGGAACACCGAUGGCGAAGGCAGCCCCCUGGGUCAAGACUGACGCUCAUGCACGAAAGCGUGGGGAGCAACAGG